UGAGAGAUGAAUUCUGAUCAUCUGCGCAUGUGCACACACACACACGACAAACAGGCUCCAGCAGGGACUGGAGCAGACACCAGAUGUGCUGACACGAGGCUUGUGCUAACUUGACCUGCUAAUAUGGCUCUAAUUUGUCUCUCAGUUUGUGCCGCCACCUUCCAGGUGGGAAGAGCGGUGUUUCCAUGUGUGACAGUGGUGGAAUCAUGGGACAUUUUUGUUUAGCAGGUAGAUCCUUACACUUGGUGGUACAGAUAAAGUUUCCAGCAAUUUCUGACAUCACAACACCAAUAACUAAUCUAUAAUGAGGAAGAUUACAAACAAAAUGUGUUCAAAUUUCAUAAAUAUUUAUUACAUAUCAAUGAACAGAAUUUACUACUUUCACAGCAGUGGUCUACAGCACUUGUUCAAAUAACUGAAAUAAUUGUUCAAAAAAUAAUAAUAAUAAUCAUUUUAGAAUAAAGUUUCAUUUGAGGCCACAUUUGAAACACAAACAAUUACAAGUAAUACUUGGCAUUAAAAACGAUGGCGAUACAAUAUUUUUAAGACACUUGGUGUUAUUUUUAUUAUUUUUUUCUUUCGUUUUGAUAUCACAGAGAGGUUGAGCAACAGUCUAAACACUAAAUAUUGAUUUAGAUACAAAAACCACUGCAAAAACAUCAAGGAGUAGGGGCGGUGUGAACUUAACAGGGACGACGGAAACAAAGGAGAGAGUGACAGGGAGAAUGAACAAAGUGAUAGAAGCCGUAUUACAAACCUUCAAACCACCAGACAUCCCACUCCCAUUCACCUACACUCAUGUUAAGAACCAGGGUAAUAAAUAACAAGUCAAAUUCCAUUGUAAAAAUAGUCUCCCUAUGGUUUCCCUCUGGUUUCGCGUAAUAGUAUUGAAAGAGACCAUAUUGAGACAGGCAAGUACAGAGAGAAACAGAAGAAAAGGGUGUGAUAGAGAGAAGGGGGCUCAUGCUAGAGUACCUGGACUGAGGGAUUCUCAGGGAUAGCCAGAAACAGGACAGUAGUAGCAAAGGCAUGACAUGCAGGUGCUUUUAGAAACCCUAGAGGGGUGU
rnacentral:lncRNA from 13 species